CCCAGACUCCUACGGGAGGCAGCAGUGAGGAAUAUUGGUCAAUGGGCGCGAGCCUGAACCAGCCAAGUCGCGUGAGGGAGGACGGCCCUACGGGUUGUAAACCUCUUUUGCCGGGGAGCAACGGGCGUCACGUGUGGCGCCACUGAGAGUACCCGGAGAAAAAGCAUCGGCUAACUCCGUGCCAGCAGCCGCGGUAAUACGGAGGAUGCGAGCGUUAUCCGGAUUUAUUGGGUUUAAAGGGUGCGUAGGCGGGCAUUUAAGCCGGCGGUCAAAUGUCGGGGCUCAACCCCGGCCUGCCGUCGGAACUGGGUGCCUUGAGUGGGCGAGAAGUAUGCGGAAUGCGUGGUGUAGCGGUGAAAUGCAUAGAUAUCACGCAGAACUCCGAUUGCGAAGGCAGCAUACCGGCGCUCAACUGACGCUCAUGCACGAAAGUGUGGGUAUCGAACAGGAUUAGAUACCCCUGUAAU
rnacentral:rRNA from 1 species